rnacentral:rRNA from 1 species
AGUGAACGCUGGCGGUAGGCCUAACACAUGCAAGUCGAACGGCAGCACAGUAAGAGCUUGCUCUUACGGGUGGCGAGUUGCGGACGGGUGAGGAAUACAUCGGAAUCUACUUUUUCGUGGGGGAUAACGUAGGGAAACUUACGCUAAUACCGCAUACGACCUACGGUUGACAGCAGGCGAUCUUCGGACCUUGCGCGAUUGAAUGAGCCGAUGUCGGAUUAGCUAGUUGGCGGGGUAAAGGCCCACCAAGGCGACGAUCCGUAGCUGGUCUGAGAGGAUGAUCAGACACACUGGAACUGAGACACGGUCCAGACUCCUACGGGAGGAAGCAGUGGGGAAUAUUGGACGAUGGGCGAAAGCCUGAUACAGCCAUACCGCGUGGGUGAAGAAGGACUUCGGGUUGUAAAGCCAUGUUGUUGGGAAAGAAAAGCAGCAGGUUAAUACCCCGAUGUUCUGACGGUACCCAAAGAAUAAGCACCGGCUAACUUCGUG